rnacentral:rRNA from 1 species
AUUGAACGCUGGCGGCAUGCCUUACACAUGCCAGUCGAACGGUAACGGGCCUUCGGGUGCCGACGAGUGGCGAACGGGUGCGUAAUACAUCGGAACGUGCCCGAUCGUGGGGGAUAACGAGGCGAAAGCUUUGCUAAUACCGCAUACGAUCUACGGAUGAAAGCAGGGGACCGCAAGGCCUUGCGCGGGCGGAGCGGCCGCUGGCAGAUUAGGUAGUUGGUGGGAUAAAAGCUUACCAAGCCGACGAUCUGUAGCUGGUCUGAGAGGAUGAUCAGCCACACUGGGACUGAGACACGGCCCAGACUCCUACGGGAGGCAGCAGUGGGGAAUUUUGGACAAUGGGCGCAAGCCUGAUCCAGCCAUGCCGCGUGCAGGAUGAAGGCCUUCGGGUUGUAAACUGCUUUUGUACGGAACGAAAAGCCUUCUUUUAAUACAGGAGGGUCAUGACGGUACCGUAAGAAUAAGCACCGGCUAACUACGUG